rnacentral:lncRNA from 1 species
AGUCAGUCAAGAACAAAUUUUUACUUACAAUGACGGCCUAACCCGGCCAAUGCUGGGCCAAUUGUGCGCCGCCCUAUGGGACUCCCAAUCACAGCCGGAUGUGAAACAGCCUGGAUUUGAACCAGGGACUGUAGUGGUGCCUCUUGCACUGAGAUGCAGUGCCUUAGCCCCCUUAUCAUGAAGGAGGAGGAAGAGAGGAGAGGCUGGCUGGUUGGCUGGCUGGUUGGUUGGCUCAUUGGCUGGCUGGCUGGCUGUCUGGCUGGUUGGUUGGUUGGCUGACUGGUUGGCUGGCUGACUGGUUGGUUGGUUGGCUGUAUGGCUGGCUGACUGGUUGGUUGGUUGGCUGUAUGGCUGGCUGACUGGUUGGUUGGCUGACUGGUUGGCUGGCUGACUGGUUGGUUGGUUGGCUGUAUGGCUGGCUGACUGGUUGGUUGGUUGGCUGUAUGGCUGGCUGGAUGGUUGGCUGACUGGCUGGUUGGCUGGCUAUAUGGCUGACUGGCUCGCUGACUGGCUGCCGGUUGUCUGUCUGAAUGUAUGUACAGUAUGUCUGACUAGCUCUGACUGACUGGUUGACUGACUUCUUGAAGCGAUAUGCUGACCGGGGCCCCUGGCUGUGUGUGUGUAACAGACAGGCAGACGGGCUGUUUUAAGAACAAUGUGAGAUGCUUCAGGAGAUGCCUAAAAUCACAUUAAGUUCACAUCGCCAUGCCCCUGGCUGUCCUCUCUUUCUGUCCCCAUUAAAGAAAUAAGAGCGUCUCUCAAGAUUGAUUUACUAGACUCUGACAAUGGAGAGGAAACAGAGGGGAAGAGAAGAGGCUGUCUCAAUGUGCAGUCUCAUGUCUCUACACAUCAAGGUGAAGAAGGACACAGGUGUAUUCCUCAAUGCAUUUUAGUUUUCACACUUUAAAAAGGCCUUCACUUGUUGUCACACAUCAAAAAGUCUACAAGAACUCUAAAAUCCCUUCAUAUUUUUAGUGUAUUAUCAUCGUUGUAGGGGAGAGUGGGGUAAGUUGAGACACAUUUUACAUUCAGCAUCACACGGUCAAGCGAAAUAUAGUAUUCUUUCUAACAAAGAUAUCUACAUAUAUUUCAGAAUGUUGUUUCUGCCUGGUAAUAAUCAGAAUUCAUGUAAACAUUACAGUUUUUAAAACAUAGCUUGUCCGAAAGAAAACUGGUCUCUUGGCACAACUUCCCCUGUUUAUGGGGUAAGUUGAACGGCGGGACAAGGUAAGUUAAGCCGCCUACACAUUUCAUUAAAUAAUGCCACUACCGUUAAACCAUGUCUAUCUUAAUAUCCCAAACAUAAUUCAACACAAUCACUGUUUGUCUUUGAAUCAUUUUAAGCAUAUUUUAACACAGGCUUAAUACCUAACAAAUUGGCUCAACCAUUUUCUCAACUUACCCCAAGGGCAAACAUUUUGACUAUAGCCCACACAGCUACAAGGAUGCACUUUCAUGCUAUGUUUAGGACCUCAUAUUGAAACUGAUAGAGACCCCCAACUGAUGUGUAUAACAAUCUUAAAAUGAUCUACUUUGGUUUAGAUACAAGCAUCAUGGAACCUCUUAACACAAUAAAUUCUACAUUUGACUUUGUGAAAAUCCGUUUUUUUUUUAAGUUUUUUUUUACUUCUUGCUUACCACUUUUUCCAAGUGGUUCUUCCUUCAUAGUUUCCAUGAAAUGAUGACCUCUUCCUAAAUAUUUUUUUCUAAUUAUUAAUUGUGUGUAUGGUUUCCUAGAAACAAGGGUGGCUCAACUUACCCCUUUUGGCUCAAUUUACCCCACUCUCCCCUACCUGUACAUUGAAUACUUUUGCUCAGUGAAUCUUAAACUCGAUCCCUAAGUAGCUCUUUCCUGCAGUCAAUGACCAAAAGCGCCCUCCUUGGCCUCAUGAAUGGAAUGUUAUUAAUAGAAAAGUACAGAUAAUCUGUUGUUUCUAUGUCAAAUCGUUUUGUUAUAUUUCAGUUUUCUGUGAUUUAUAUAAAGUCUAAUAUUGUGUUGGAAGCUCAAAAUGUAAUACAUUUUAACUUUAUAUCUGACAUGGUACAGGUGUCUUCUACAGGUGUCCCGUACCCCCUGUAUACAGUAUCCCCUGUAUAUAGUACCAUACCCCCUGUAUACAGUACCAUACCCCCUGUAUACAGUACCGUACCCCCUGUAUAUAGUACCGUACCCCCUGUAUAUAGUACCAUAACCCCUGUAUACAGUACCCCCUGUAUAUAGUACCAUACCCCCUAUAUACCAUUCAAGGGUUUUUCUCUGUAUACCGUAACCCCUGUAUACAGUACCAUACCCCUGUAUACAGUACCCCCUGUAUAUAGUACCAUACCCCCUGUAUACCGUACCCCCUGUAUACAGUACCAUACCCCCUGUAUACAGUACCAUACCCCCUGUAUACAGUACCGUACCCCCUGUAUACAGUACCAUACCCCCUGUAUACAGUACCGUACCCCCUGUAUAUAGUACCGUACCCCCUGUAUAUAGUACCAUACCCCCUGUAUACAGUACCCCCUGUAUAUAGUACCAUACCCCCUGUAUACCAUUCAAGGGUUUUUCUCUGUAUACAGUACCCCCUGUAUAUAGUACCAUACCCCCUGUAUACCGUACCCCCUGUAUACAGUACCAUACCCCCUGUAUACAGUACCAUACCCCCUGUAUACAGUACCGUACCCCCUGUAUACAGUACCGUACCCCCUGUAUACAGUACCGUACCCCCUGUAUACAGUACCGUACCCCCUGUAUACAGUACCAUACCCCCUGUAUACAGUACCGUACCCCCUGUAUACAGUACCCCCUGUAUACAGUACCGCACCCCCUGUAUACAGUACCGUACCCCCUUAUACAGUACCGUACCCCCUGUAUACAGUACCAUACCCCCUGUAUACAGUACCAUACCCCCUGUAUACAGUACCGUACCCCCUGUAUACAGUACCGUACCCCCUGUAUACAGUACCGUACCCCCUUAUACAGUACCGUACCCCCUGUAUACAGUACCAUACCCCCUGUAUACAGUACCAUACCCCCUGUAUACAGUACCGUACCCCCUGUAUACAGUACCAUACCCCCUGUAUACAGUACCAUACCCCCUUAUACAGUACCAUAACCCCUUAUACAGUACCAUACCCCCUGUCUCGUUAUUGUUAUUUUAUUUUUACUCUUUCAUUUUUUUUUUACUUAGUUUAGUUUAAUUAGCAAAUAUUUUAUUAACCAUGUUUUUCUUAAAACUGCAAUGUCGGUUAAGGGCUCGUAAGUACGCGUUUCACUGUAAGGUCUACACCCGUUGUAUUCAGCGUUUCACUGUAAGGUCUACACCUGUUGUAUUCAGCAUUUCACUGUAAGGUCUACUACACCUGUUGUAUUCAGCAUUUCACUGUAAGGUCUACUACACCUGUUGUAUUCAGC